AGUUCUUGGUCUCUCUGGCCAGCCAGUCUAGCCAAACCCCUAAGCCCCAGGUUCAACAAAAGAACUUGAUCAAAAACAAGGUGAUGAAGAGAUUGAGGAAGACAUGGUGGCAACCUUUCAUCUCCACAGGCACCUCUCCACAGGUUAUGGAAAAACACAUGAAAUGCAUAUUCCACCUUGUAGCUGGCAAUACUUGGACUCUUGAAACUUUGGCAUUAUAUUUAACUACACUUAGGAACAAAUAAAUACUGGAUAAAAUUCUGAUGAAGAAAACUAGAAUCAGAUUCUGAAAUUUUAGCCUCAUGGAAACUUGAAAUAGUAAAAACAAUAAAAAAAAGAAUCUUGCGAUGUCA